GACAGCUGAAAGAAGAAGGGGGUUUUGCUGAACCUGGACAACUCACAGUCAAGCAUUUCCAUCCCGUAACAGUUGGAGAAUGAGCCUGCGUGACAGGCCUUCCAUUUAGCAGGUGAAUCUCAGCUGCUACGUAAAUCGUCAAAGCCGGAACUUGGAAUGUGAAUAUAGCCAUGAGAGUGCCUCAGCAAGGAACCAUUAUGAGGUCUUGGUAUCCGGGAAUCUGCACUGAUAACCCACACCACAGGUGAUUCUGAUGGAGGUGGUUCCAGAACUAGAGUUUGAGAGUCGCUGUCCUCUAGCAACCUCUGGAUUAAACACGGGAGAAAACAAAUAGACCUGGGUUGUUGACUGACC